GGAUUGUGACUCAGUGGUGGAGUGCUUGACUUUCAUGUAUGAGGCUCUAGGUUCGAUCCUCAGCACCA
rnacentral:tRNA from 1 species